rfam:Corchorus olitorius cultivar O-4 contig05900, whole genome shotgun sequence.
GCGAGUAUAGUUCAGCGGUAGAAUAAGACCUUGCCAAGGUUUAGACACGGGUUCGAUCCCCGUUACUCGCU